rnacentral:tRNA from 1 species
AAAGUUAUAGUAUAUUUGUUUAGUAUAAGCUAUUGUCAAUAGUUAGGAUAUAAACUUUA